CAAAGUCUCAUCUGAGACAAGGCAAGUUCCUUCCACUUAUGAGCCUGUAAAAUCAAAAGCAAAUUAGUUACUUCCUAGAUACAAUGGGGGUACAGGCAUUGAGUAAAUACAGCUGUUCCGAGAGCUCAGAGUUCCAGGCAAACCAGCCUCCCCAUCAGGGUGCUUCCUCUUCCCUCCAAGUGCCCAGCAAGCACUGGAAUAACCGUUCCCAGCAGGGGCCACAACAGCACCUGGACCCCAGGAGGGGGCAGUUUCCAAGUGCAAGGACAAGUAUAGAACCCCAUGGCAUGGAGAAAGGAGCAAGGAAAGUGGUAAAUGAAGCUUUGACAAAAGACGUCAAGGAAGACCAAUGCCAUUUAA
rnacentral:lncRNA from 1 species